UAAUUCAACAUGCAACAGAUAAACCCUAAUUAGGCUCUUCGCCUCUUCCCAUCCCUUUAAAUCAAUCAAGUAUCAUGCAUAUCUCUUCCGUUCUGGUUCUGCUGCUUCCGGGCUCCAGGUCUGCAACAAGAACCAGAUAACAGUAGUUAAUUGCUGCUGCCAUUUUCUUGGAUUAAUGUUUAAAGUGAAUAUGAAGUGUGGAUGUAUCAACCAACAAACCUGAAUCCUGCCAUCAGAGCAGCCAACAAAGAUCAUCUCUCCAUCUUUAUCUGGUGUUAAUGAUGUGAUUCUUGUGUUCCCACUGCUUUUCAAUUUGAGGGAGGCAAUCUUUGUUGCUCUCUCCUUUUGCCAAACCUCAAUGGUUCCACAUUUCAUGGCCAAGAAUAUGAAAUCAGUGUUGACCAUUACCUGCUGUAUGUCAGAGUUGGAUGGGAAUAAUCCUAUGACUGCCUUGCUGGGGAGGGAGAAGAUCUUCAUAUGCACAUUGGUAUUUGGUAGAGACAAUCAGGAGCCUUAGUAUCCAUGAACUGGUUACGAGUUUUAAGCUGAAAAAAAAACUUGAAAUUUGCUCAUACCUUUCCUGCAAUUCCAUCAACUGAGGAACCUCCAGCGAUCAAAACAUCCUUGUGAAUCUCGAGGGAUAGUAUAGUUUGUUUGCCUAACAAUUUUUUGGUCCCAGUGUAAAAUGUUGUUGUUGUGUAAGUGCUUAAAUCAACUUCCUGUCAUUAUUGCUGAAUUUUAGACAUUCAUUGAAACUUCACUGGUACUUAGACCAAACUAUGCAGUCUAGAAUACCUGGAUGCUGUACCCUGUGCAUCCACAAUAAAGCUUAUCGCCUGCCAAGGCAAGACACUUAACAUAUUUGUUGAAAUUUACAUGCUUUGGAGAUCCAGACCAAUUAUAAA